CUCAGGAGUUAGCCGAUAAGAAAGCUUACAUGAUUUUCAAAGCUGAAAAUAUUUUUAAAGCAGUAAAUGCAUAAGUAAAGCACUUAAGUAACUUCUUCUGUCCCCUCGGGAAGCCGCUUGCAUGGGAGAAGAAGUUAAAAAGACGGGACCAGGAGAAAGAGAAGCUGUUGGCAAAGGUUCGUGCCUCUGGCAGAGAGGUCCCAGGCUGAAGAAGAAAGCUGAGGGGGCAUUUGCCUGCUGCAGAAGCUCUUUGUGCUGCCUCAGCUGCUACAGUGCCAGUGCACGACCUGCAGCCUUCCUGGUGUUCAGACUCCACCCUGCAUGCUUCCCGCAGGGCUCACUCCCCUUCCCGCGAUAAGCACUGCGAGACGAUGGCUGGUGAGGCAGGGGACAGGGACUCUUGCUGCCCUGUGCCAGGGCAUGUUGAUGCAUCCCCUUAUUUCCCUUCAGGGUCAGGAUUAGUAUUCAUGACUUCAGGAGGGGUGUGAAGCCCCAGCUAUGCUCAUGGCCUCCAGCCAUGCUACAUGAGCCUGGAUAUCGAGCAGCCCUGCCCAAAAGGCUGAUGCAGCCUAGGGAUGUGCUCCACAUGUGCUCCUACAGUAUGCCUGUAGGGACACAGGGAUGCUCUUAGGGAGGGGAGACACUGGAGAGACCACCUCCUCCUCACCCUGUGUGAGCAAUGCAUCCACAGCCCCUCCUCUACCUGCCCAACUCCACCUCUGGCUUGGGUUCUUUUCCUCAGGAGCAGCCCCUACUGCAGACACAAGCUUGCUGAGCUCUAUUCUUGGGGGACAGACUCAAGGAGACCAUGAGUAUCUGAGAGGCAAUGUGUGUCCUACCACCGGAGCAGGGCAAGGAGACUCAGCUGGAUGAGAAAUGGAUGCUUCCAAGACCAGGCAAGAGCUGGACCUGCUGACAAAAGCUCUAAUUCCCCUUCAGUUAUCUAGAAACCACCUCAGAGCAUCUGAGUAAGCAUCUGCCAGCAUCCAGAGCAAAGAAGCACUUCAUAGCUCACAGAUUACACAGAACACAGGAACAUAAGGGGAACAUAGUCUUUGUUUCUGCUGGGAAAAAAAAAUCAAGCCAGCAAAGACUUUCUUCAGUGUUGAUGGUCAUUUUCU